rnacentral:rRNA from 1 species
UACGGAGGGAGCUAGCGUUAUUCGGAAUUACUGGGCGUAAAGCGUACGUAGGCGGCUUUGUAAGUUAGAGGUGAAAGCCUGGAGCUCAACUCCAGAACUGCCUUUAAGACUGCAUCGCUUGAAUCCAGGAGAGGUGAGUGGAAUUCCGAGUGUAGAGGUGAAAUUCGUAGAUAUUCGGAAGAACACCAGUGGCGAAGGCGGCUCACUGGACUGGUAUUGACGCUGAGGUACGAAAGCGUGGGGAGCAAACAGG